UACGGAGGGUGCGAGCGUUGUCCGGAAUCACUGGGCGUAAAGGGCGCGUAGGCGGCGCGGGGAGUCAACGGUGAAAGCUCGGCGCUCAACGCCGAGUCGGCCGUCGAUACUCCCGUGCUCGAGCACUGUAGAGGCAGGUGGAAUUCCGGGUGUAGCGGUGGAAUGCGUAGAGAUCCGGAAGAACACCGGUGGCGAAGGCGGCCUGCUGGGCCGACCCUGACGCUGAGGCGCGAAAGCCAGGGGAGCGAACGGA
rnacentral:rRNA from 1 species